AGAUGUUUGCCAACCCCAGUGGAACAUGACAGAUUACAAAGGACUUCUUUCCAGAGGAUAUCUUCAAAGGAUGUGCACAGAUUUAUUUUAAAAUAAAUUGGGGCAAUAUGUGGAAUUUGGUGUUGAUGAAUAGUUUUCAAGAUAGGAGAGAGCUUGAAACUAAUGGAAAGAAAACCAUCUCUUUAAUUCUGUUGCUUGGAAGGAAUUUUUCACCUGCCUUACACUUGCUGUGCAUACACUCUAAGACCCUGCUUAGAAUCCUGGAUGAAGACUGUUACGAAAAGCCAUUAGUGCUCUCCUGACUGACUUUGUUCACUUCUAGACCUCCCAUUGGGAAGGAAAAUAAAAGGUAGAGCAGAUACCACAGUUCAUUCACAGGUGUUAAAUGUUGAUCAGAGACAGCAGGGAAACUCCUCUCAGAACUGAAAAGAAGAUCUACAGUGAUUAUUUUAAUGAGAGGCUAUUAUAGAAUGAUUAGUGAAGAGCAUGCAGAAGGUUAGUAUCUGCUGUUAUUCUAACUUGGAAUACAAGAAUUAAAGAGAAUUAUUUUCUGGAA